UUGAAAGGGAAACGAUUGAAGUCAGUCGUACCGGCGGGUAAUCAGCCUUUUGGGUGUGAUUAUGUGGAGCGUGAGGAGUUAAUCACCCUCAUCUUUGCAUAUUCGUGCACUUUGGGUGUACUUGCUCGUGUGGUAGGUUAACAUCAAUUUUGAUCGUCAUAAAAUGAUUGAAGGAAUGUAGCUUCGAUCUUGUAUUGAAAUGUUAUAGCCUUCGGUAGAUGUGAUGAUUGGGAUUGAGGAUUGCAACGGAUACCCUUCGGGGCUACCCGUCUGAUCUCUGAAAGUUGCUCUGGUGCUGAAAGCUUGCUUACGGUAUCAAAGUUGACGUUCAACAGGUUAGAACGGGAUAAAUUCGUUAAGGAUGU
rnacentral:rRNA from 1 species